rnacentral:rRNA from 1 species
UUUAGAGUUUGANNUNCCCGCUCAGGACGAACGCUGGCGGCAUGCCUAAUACAUGCAAGUCGAGCGAACAGAUGAAGUGCUUGCACUUCUGACGUUAGCGGCGAACGGGUGAGUAACACGUAAGGAAUCUACCUAUAAGCGGGGGAUAACAUUCGGAAACGGGUGCUAAUACCGCAUAAUAUCUUCUUCCGCAUGGAAGAAGAUUGAAAGACGGCUCUGCUGUCACUUAUAGAUGACCUUGCGGUGCAUUAGUUAGUUGGUGGGGUAAUGGCCUACCAAGACGAUGAUGCAUAGCCGACCUGAGAGGGUGAUCGGCCACAUUGGGACUGAGACACGGCCCAAACUCCUACGGGAGGCAGCAGUAGGGAAUCUUCCGCAAUGGGCGAAAGCCUGACGGAGCAAUGCCGCGUGAGUGAAGAAGGCCUUCGGGUCGUAAAACUCUGUUAUAAGAGAAGAACAAAUUGUAGAGUAACUGCUACAGUCUUGACGGUAUCUUAUCAGAAAGCCACGGCUAACUACGUGCCAGCAGCCGCGGUAAUACGUAGGUGGCAAGCGUUGUCCGGAUUUAUUGGGCGUAAAGGGAGCGCAGGUGGUUUCUUAAGUCUGAUGUGAAAGCCCACGGCUUAACCGUGGAGGGUCAUUGGAAACUGGGAAACUUGAGUACAGAAGAGGAA